rnacentral:rRNA from 1 species
GACGAACGCUGGCGGCGUGCUUAACACAUGCAAGUCGAACGGAAAGGCCCUGCUUGCAGGGUACUCGAGUGGCGAACGGGUGAGUAACACGUGGGUGAUCUGCCCUGCACUUCGGGAUAAGCUUGGGAAACUGGGUCUAAUACCGGAUAGGACCGCACUUUAGUGUGUGUGGUGGAAAGUUUUUUCGGUGUAGGAUGAGCUCGCGGCCUAUCAGCUUGUUGGUGGGGUAAUGGCCUACCAAGGCGGCGACGGGUAGCCGGCCUGAGAGGGUGUACGGCCACAUUGGGACUGAGAGACGGCCCAGACUCCUACGGGAGGCAGCAGUGGGGAAUAUUGCACAAUGGGCGCAAGCCUGAUGCAGCGACGCCGCGUGGGGGAUGAAGGCCUUCGGGUUGUAAACUCCUUUCGCUAGGGACGAAGCUUUUUGUGACGGUACCUAGAGAAGAAGCACCGGCUAACUACGUG